rnacentral:lncRNA from 1 species
CAUCCACAAAUUAUGCAACCAGAAUUUGUUAUAGACCUAUCACAGAGGAUGGACCAGUGAUAUAUGGGAGAGAGGGACACAUCACUGGGAGGGACUCAAUUUUGAACUAAAAUUUGCUGAAUUGGAAUGAUAAUUUGGAUAUACAUUUAAAAUCCAAAAUGCCGAUUAAAGUGUUAUUAAAUUACAUGAAUAUCUAUUUUCCAGAAAAAUCGAAAUUAUUGAAUAAAAAUAAGGCAAGGCAAAAACGUGAACUGGUUCAAUGAUACUUUGAGAGCAAUGCGUGGAAGACUUCAAUUUAUUUGUAGCAAUAAAUAGAAACGAUCCCAUUUUUGUACCUAAAAGUAAAAUUAUUGAAUUUAGAAAAUAGUACAGAAAAGCCAUCAAACUUGCAAAAGUUGAUGCAAUGUGAGAUGUCAGAGUGACAAUCGAUUGAAAUAAUGUAAAUAUGAAAUUUCAUUCAACCCCAAAUUUUUAUAUCUCUUCCAAGUCUUAUUUUGUAUUCGAAGUAGAAAUAUAUAAAUUGAUGUACAUAUAUGUAGAUGGAAGAUUGGUGUUCUAAAAAUUCAUGUCGCCUAUGAUUUUGUUAGUGUAUAUGUUGAUUCAUAUCAUGUUAAAUUGGCAAGUAGAGGUAUGGCUCAUCGAUCUGUUAUUAAACCUUAUACGAAUUUUAUGGGCACCAUAAGUUAGCAAAAUAUCCAGUAAGUCAAGUAAGUGCAUCAAAUAUUUAAGUUUCUGACUCAAGUUUCAAGGUGUAAUAGAAAAUAAAUAUUAUAUGAAUAUUA